GGGCGCUCUUGCAGGACGCGGCUCCGAAAGGAGAAAUAGAGCGGUCCCGACCCUUCCUAAGGAAACGCGUAGGUGGGGAGCAGCGGCGGAGCAAAGGGACAAUUAUCCCCCAUCCCCCAAGGAAUUUUCCGGAACACAGAGCCAACCACACCCAGUGCCACACAUCUGGCCAUACUCACGUCUCCUUCAGUGGUCCCAGCCCAAACCGCCCAGAGUAGAGGAGCCCACGAAAAACAGGUCAAACACAUUCCUAACUUACGUGUUCCUACAGGAUUUAACCUGAGCAAGAGGAUCUCGUAAGUUCAUCUAAAGAAAGACUCGCCUACCUUCUUACACAGGAAAAGUAGUUUUUAUUCGGAAGAAAAAGGCUGACAACAAUUAACUUUUUGAAGUUAUUUGCUUUGGGCUAAUAGACAUUUUACAGAUGGAAUUUUGUUUAAUCCCCUUUCAGGGGAUUAAAAAUGGCCACAGAAUUUAUACAAUUGACCUCAUCAAUAAGUGGCAGCUAAGUCUACCCCCACAUUUGACUCUGGGCUGGCAUUAUACUUGGCUUUGACUUACAGCAUGAAGUAUAAGUGACAUUGUGUGAGUGCCAGAGCCUAGGCAUUGAGAAGCUUUGCAGCUUCACUUCACACUCUUGGAAGCCUGAGCCACCAUGUAAAGAGACCCAACUAUACCCUUCUGGAGAGACAGUGUGGAGUCCAGAGCCAGCACCGAGCACCUGACAUGUAAAUGAGGCCAUUUGAUUCACCCAGCCCCAUCUGAGCCUCCAGACACUACACCUGCACGAGCAACCCCAGAUAAUUCUAAAUGGAGAACAACCCAGCUGAGCCAGCCAACUCCAAAAUUAUGGCAAGUAAUGAAUUAUAGUUGUUUUAAGACACUAAGUUUUGAAUGGAUUGUUAUAUAGCAAUAAAUAAUAGAU